CCUGCUUCUAGAAACAUUGCAGGUGUGACCCUGUGUCACAUGUGUGUCACUAGGUGGCACAGAGGAGAGAGGCUGUGUCCUAUGCUCAGUGCUCUGACCUAUGAUAUUCAUAGGUCAACAACUUUCCCUG